AUUGUAGUUUCUCUGAAAAUUAAACUUGUCCUCGGUUGAAAUUAUUCUGUAGAGUCUUUUUCCUGCACUCACUCAUUAAGGUCUGAUAAAUUGUUUUAUUUUUAUAUUCAUCUAAUUAAGGCCAGAUGUACAAGUAGAUUGAUGGAAAGGAAAAGCGCUGUAUAUCCUUUUUCCAGUAUAACAGAAAUAGAUGGAUGUGAAAAAAUCCAAAUAUUUAGAAAGGUAGAUUGUGAGCUUGUUGAAACCAAAUUAUAGAAUAUCUAUAGGUUAUUAAUUUUAGUUUGCUCAACUUAAACCUUUUCUAAAAAAUUCUUCAAGAAUCUUUCAGUUGGCUAUGCUUUAAACUAAACUUUAAAAUAACUAUCUGGUUUCUAAUCUAGCCAGCAGUGGUUUAGAUAUGCAACCAUCCUUUUCUUUAAAACAAACAUAUAAACUUUCAGUAUAAACAAAACUUUUAUUUCUCUUGCUUACAGAUGUGCCUCAAAGAUGCAGCUUUUCUAAAACGUUUUAACUGGACUUGCCUUGUUGUGGAUGAAGCUCAGAGAUUGAAGAAUCAGGAUUCAUUACUUCAUAAAACACUAUCUGAGUAUUCAACAGAUUUCCGUCUCCUGCUGACUGGUACUCCAAUUCAGAACAAUCUUCAAGAGUUAUAUUCCAUGCUUACUUUUAUUGAACCAGUUAUAUUUCCCAAGGAACUGGUAGAUGAAUUUGUUUGCCAUUACCAUGAAAUUGAAAAAGACACUGAAAAAGGCAAGUAGAAAGUUGAGAUUCAUUGCAGAAUGUGAACAGUUAGGAUUCGGGCUUCUUUUUUGAUCAUGCUAUUGUUAUUAAAGGAAUGUGUAUAGCCUGCUCUUGAACCAAAAACACUCCUAUUUUUAAUUAAGAAUUCAGUCUCUUAUGAUAUCAUGGACCUCAUCUUUUUGCUGUUUCUUUUUUUCAUUAAUGUUAUAAGAGAUGUAUAUAUUCUUAGUGUGUUUUUUCACUUUUUAACUUACGCAGCUAUAUACAACUGUAUACAGUUGCUGCCCUGGGGAAAUGCAAAGUCUCGUAGGUAAAUUUAUUUUUAAAUACAGAUAAUCCUCAUUUAAUGACAGAAGUUGGCAUUGAAUACUUUGUUACUAAGCAAUAUGGUCCUAAAGCAAAAAAAACCAACGUGUAACUAUGCUGACUUAACUGCAAUUCUGGUUGCAAUUAUUAAGCAAAUUAUGCAGAGUCAUUAAAGACAAUAUCAUGUGACCACAACUUGUGACUUCCUGCGGACUCCCAUAUUGACUUUGCUUACUGGAAACCAGCAGUGAAGGUCACAAAUGGUAAUCACGCAACCAUUACACAUUGCAAGUGUUGUAAUUUCAAUCACGAUUGUGGGGACAUGGUGACCACUGCAAUUUUGAGGACUGGCUGUAAGCUUCAUUGUUCAGUAGUCAUAAUUUAGUAUGGUCCCAAGAACCACUUAUAUAAUUUUAAGAUUUUUCUAAAAGGUACUGAAUUUGGUGCAUAUGUGAGGAAAAGAGUUCAGUCUCCAGUAAGGUUAUAGAUCAUUAUUGCAUGCAUAAUUAGUGCCUGGAAUUUAAAUGACACAUUGAAUAUGUUUUAAUAUGACACAUGUAUUGCCGUAGCAACAUGCAUUGUUCCCCAUACAACAGCUUUCCUCAGUCUUAUGUCAUGCUGCUGAAUCAUGGAAUUCUUAAAUUGACAAGUUGAAAUUAGGGAGAUUUGUACUUGUUAAUUUUGGUAACUUUAGCCAUAUUAAUUUUAGUGGGUUUAUCCUUAAAUGAGACUACUAUAGUUUUCAAUUGCACCAAUUACAGCAACUAGUUAUAUAUUUGCUAUAUGAAGCUCUUUUUUAAAGUAUCAAAUUACAUAAUCUCAUUUGUUAAGGUCAGUAACCAUUAAAUGAAUAAACUAAAAUCCAAAAUAGUCAAUUACCUGUAAUACUCAUGUAAUCAAACACAACAUUACUCAGGAGAUGUAGUCAAACUAGCUAAAACUUGCCUUAUACUGGCAUUGUAUUCUGAAAUAUGAAAUGUAGAAAAUAUAAAAGAUAAAUACAUAGAACGCAUUAUUGUAAUACUGGUGCCCUGAUUUGUUAAUUUAAUUAUGUGUUAUGACAGUCUUAUAUACUGUACAUCUCUUUCAUUUACUAUACAUCUCUCUCGCUUGUCUUUUUGAGUCAAUUGAAUAGACUGAUUGUGGGUGAUUGAUGGCUUAUUUGAAAUGGUCAGGACUUUCGCCUUCUACUUCAAAUUGGGAAAUUGUUUCUCGCAAUGUUUCUUAAAUAUCUCUACUAGAAUUCAUUAAGAUAUGUCUGUUACAUAGAUCCAUUUUUAGUUAGUUUCUGUUACUUGAAGCUGUAGGAAGAUUUACAAGUUCUCCAGUGUGCUGCUUAGAAAAUCUAAAGAAAUGGGUUAAUAUCAGUCUGCUUGCCUAGAGAUUGAAUUGAAUAAACGUGACCACGCCUCCCUUUUCACUUGGCUCCUCAGUUUUUUCAAUUCAGUCUGCCUGAAGAGACGUAAUCACAUUUUCUCCUAUACCUUGUGAGUCAUUCCUUUGGAUUUUCCUUGCUAGUAGGUAUUGUUAUUUCCUUUAUUAUAGUCAGCAUUAUGUUAUUGUUGUGUAAACUGCUUUCGGCGGAGCACUGGUUUUCCCGCCAGUUGAACUGCUGCCGAGGUUGCCUCAUUCCGGGCGAAUGUGCGUGCGUCAAGGCUUUUCUGCCCGAUUGCUCAGCUAGCCGUAAUGGAUAGCCGCUUGUAUCUGAGGGCCAUGAGCUUCGGUGCAUUGGCUCGAGACCCUCUUUUUGCACUUGGAGACUUGGUUCGCCAUCCUCCCACCGCUGCCUGUUUCUCCGGCUAAAAUGCACGGAGCCGCCAUUUUGGAUGGUGCUUUGAAUUUCACGGGCGGCACCAAGGCUGCUGGGAUGGAGACUGGAUGUCUGGCAAUUGGGAGCCGUUAGGCUUGGUGCCAAUUGAGAUCUGGAACAGCACCGGCCAAAUUGAGUGCCCCGAGCCUCAUUGCGAGUUGGCUUGUGAGACAAGCAGCAGCGUGAUUGCAAGCUGGCUGUAUUUCCUCACUGCAAGUGAUCCAAAUUGAACU